rnacentral:tRNA from 1 species
CCGUCGAUAGCUCAGUUGGUAGAGCGGAGGACUGUGGAUUUGCUGCAAUUCUUAGGUCGCUGGUUCGAAUCCG